rnacentral:rRNA from 1 species
GGCCUAACACAUGCAAGUCGAGCGGUAACAGAAAGUAGCUUGCUACUUUGCUGACGAGCGGCGGACGGGUGAGUAAUGCUUGGGAACAUGCCUUGAGGUGGGGGACAACAGUUGGAAACGACUGCUAAUACCGCAUAAUGUCUACGGACCAAAGGGGGCUUCGGCUCUCGCCUUUAGAUUGGCCCAAGUGGGAUUAGCUAGUUGGUGAGGUAAUGGCUCACCAAGGCAACGAUCCCUAGCUGGUUUGAGAGGAUGAUCAGCCACACUGGGACUGAGACACGGCCCAGACUCCUACGGGAGGCAGCAGUGGGGAAUAUUGCACAAUGGGCGCAAGCCUGAUGCAGCCAUGCCGCGUGUGUGAAGAAGGCCUUCGGGUUGUAAAGCACUUUCAGUCAGGAGGAAAGGUUAGUAGUUAAUACCUGCUAGCUGUGACGUUACUGACAGAAGAAGCACCGGCUAACUCCGUGCCAGCAGCCGCGGUAAUACGGAGGGUGCGAGCGUUAAUCGGAAUUACUGGGCGUAAAGCGUACGCAGGCGGUUUGUUAAGCGAGAUGUGAAAGCCCCGGGCUCAACCUGGGAACUGCAUUUCGAACUGGCAAACUAGAGUGUGAUAGAGGGUGGUAGAAUUUCAGGUGUAGCGGUGAAAUGCGUAGAGAUCUGAAGGAAUACCGAUGGCGAAGGCAGCCACCUGGGUCAACACUGACGCUCAUGUACGAAAGCGUGGGGAGCAAACAGGAU